rnacentral:lncRNA from 1 species
AAAUCAUUGACACUCCACACUUCCCUACUAUCAUAUUUUCUUUUUCUUCUUUUUUUUUUUUAAGAGAACUUUUUUUUCUUUCCUCAGCGCCUCCAGUCCAAUUCAAAUACACAGGGCUUAUAAAUGCAGAGUGGAGGUACAACAGGAAGGUAAGCUUAGCAGUUCUGAUUAUUAGGUCACAAGGGACACUUGGGUCUAACAGACUUCAGUAGCAUCUCUGAUUAUACCUGGGUGUCUGAUCCCAUGCACUUGUUUGCACCCAGAACAACAGGCAUAGCCAAAUGACUUGUUUUCAUCAGGAAAAUGGGAGCUGAAGAGACAUGUGCAUGAGCAUUUAAUAUUCAGUCCUCAUUGUCUACCCCGGAACCCAUUCAUGGAGAGAACCCUGAAGCCUCAUAUUGAGAUGAAGCAUGCCAUAAACUGUUGGUGUUUCCUUUAGCCUGGAUCCUCCAGUGGUUUAAAUGGAUGAAGCCCUCUGCCUACCUGUUUAAGGUCAUCAAAAAUCAUAGACCCAUUUCCCAGACAGGACUUACACUCAAAUUUCCACCUCCACCCUCAAAGUUCCUAGAGAUUGCUUUCCCCAAGAUCACAGGUAACUGAACCCAGACACAGAAACACUUUGGCAGCAGAUUAUAUUACUAACUUCUUCACAUCCAAAGCC